rnacentral:rRNA from 1 species
CCUACGGGUGGCAGCAGUCGAGAAUCAUUCACAAUGGGGGUAACCCUGAUGGUGCGACGCCGCGUGGGGGAAUGAUGGUCUUCGGAUUGUAAACCCCUGUCAUGUGGGCGCAAAUUAAAAAGAUAGUACCACUAGCGGAAGUGACGGCUAACUCUGUGCCAGCAGACGCGGUAAUACAGGGGUCUCUAGCGGUGUUCGGACUCACUGGGCGUAAAGCGUGCGUAGGUGGUGUCGUCAGUCGUGUGGGAAAGGGGCGGGCUCAAACCGCGGACGGCCCAUGACACGGGGAGACUAGAGUAGGAGAGAGGGAGGCGGAAUGAGCGGUGUAGCGGUGAAAUGCGUAGAUAUCGGGAAGAACAAUGAUGGCGAAGGCGGGUGCCUGGACAUAAACUGACGCUGAGGCACGAAAGCGAGGGGAGCGAAAGGGAUUAGAUACACGAGUAGUC